GUUUGGUAAUGCAGAGCAUUGUGAGAUAUCUUGCGGUCUUCGAAUGUUUUGAAUCCGGUACAUACUUUCGAUUGUGUGAUCCAGGAACAGGAAAACUGAAGGUGGGAGAAAAGUGUAUAUUGUCGGGCCAUUAUUGAGAAAUGACUGCCACAAGGCCUGCAUGGGUGAGGUCCCCAACUCAGGACGGGGAAAGCAGCCGGCUGCGGCAUCCACAGGGACACAAUGGAGCCCGCGUGAAAGAGAUACAAAACGAUGCAGGAGUAAGUGAAAUUUUGACCUGGUUAAAACGGGGGGCUCAAAAAGACGGUACGGGGAUAUGGCGCAGUGUAGAAGGGUUGUGUAUAGCCCCAGUCAGCCUCCUCCCACGCUUGAUCAAAGACGCCCAUGGCGUGGAUCAUGUCAAUAAGGCCGAAAUGAUCCGGAAAAUUCGUCAGGAGUGGUGGUCCCCUCAGCUGGCCUCACAGGUGGACCAAGUGGUGAACGCAUGUGCUGUGUGCAUCAACCACAACGUGCGAAAGAACCUCACCACCCCCUUAGGACAUAUUCCCCCGCCAGUCAUAUGAGUCAUAUAGACAUGGGAG
ensembl:lncRNA